UUACGGGAGGCAGCAGUGGGGAAUCUUCCACAAUGGGCGAAAGCCUGAUGGAGCGACGCCGCGUGAGUGAUGAAGGUCUUCGGAUCGUAAAGCUCUGUUACCAGGGACGAAUAAAUGACGGUACCUGGGGAGGAAGCCACGGCUAACUACGUGCCAGCAGCCGCGGUAAUACGUAGGUGGCGAGCGUUGUCCGGAAUUAUUGGGCGUAAAGGGCGCGUAGGCGGUCAUUUAAGUCAGGUGUGAAAUACCCCGGCUCAACUGGGGGGAGCCACCUGAUACUGGGUGACUAGAGUGCAGGAGAGGGAAGUGGAAUUCCAUGUGUAGCGGUGAAAUGCGUAGAUAUAUGGAGGAACACCAGUGGCGAAGGCGGCUUCCUGGACUGUAACUGACGCUGAGGCGCGAAAGCUGGGGGAGCGAACGGGAUUAGAUACCCUGGUAGU
rnacentral:rRNA from 1 species